GACUUCCAAUUGGGUUACAACUAAAAGGGCUGCAUGGGGCUGAAUUUGGGUUUCUUUUUGGUCAAAUUGGUUGGCUAAUUUCAAGUAUAUAAACACGCACUUACCGAAAGAAGAGGGGAGGAAGAAAACCUGGAGAAGAGGAGGGGGACGGCUGCCAAGAAGAAGAGGGGAGACCAAUUGGAAUUCCAGCUAAAUUAGGGGACUAAUUAGGCGGUUGAAAGAGAAAGGUAUUAUACAUACAAGUUGCUGAAAUAGGGUAGAAAAACAAGGGCAGAGUUGCUGGAAAGAAAGCAAAGAAAAAGGCAGCCAAUUAGAGAAGAAUUAGCAUUUGUCUGAGAGUCCAAGAUUGCGGCGGUAGGAAAUAAAAUAAGGUGUGGCUGAAUCAGAUUUUAUAUACAUAUAAAUUGGUGGCCGGCUGAGGAGGAAGGAAAUCUAAUUCUUUCAGUCAAAACAAAAAAGGGCAGCUGAAUGUAACCUUUUUGCUGGAAAUUAUGGUGGAGAGAGGCACACAUAUGCACAAAAAAACGGCAGCUGAAAUUGGACUUCAAAAGGGCUGCAAAAUUAAUACAAUUAUCAGGAGAAAAGAGGAAUUACGGACCUUAAUUGGAUAAAUUACAAGCUCGCUGCUUGGACUGAAUUGAUUAGUUUAUGCAUUAAAUUGGUGGCUGCAAGUGUGACAAAACAUUUGCUUUGUAUUGGAGCCAACUGUGGGGAUAUUGUAAACAUAAAAGGAAAGCCAACUUGGAGAUUUACUCGCUAACUAGGAGUUGACAUAUACACGUGCAAAGGCUGGGAAUAAUUUUGGAAUUUAAUCACCUCCCAUCGAUUUUUGGUGACUUCUUUCCACUUUUAUGUGCUUAAUUCCAACAGUAUGCUAGGCUAAUUUUUCUCAUAUAUUGGAUGGAUGACAAAAUUGUUUAAUUCUUAAUUUUAAUUCGAGACAAGUGUUUAUUUUAAUUAUUGUGUUGUGAUUUCAUUAGUAUGC
rnacentral:lncRNA from 1 species